rnacentral:rRNA from 1 species
CACCGGCGGCCCGAGUGGUAGCCGCUAUUAUUGGGUUUAAAGGGCCCGUAGCCGGCCUAUUAAGUCUCUUGGGAAAUCUGGCGGCUUAAUCGUCAGGCGUCCAAGAGAUACUGGUAGGCUUGGGACCGGGAGAGGUGGGAGGUACUCCAGGGGUAGGGGUGAAAUCUCGUAAUCCUUGGGGGACCACCGAUGGCGAAGGCAUCCCACCAGAACGGGUCCGACGGUGAGGGACGAAAGCUGGGGGCACGAA